ensembl:lncRNA
CCGUGCCAUUGUGAGGUAGCAGCUGUGCACCUCCUGACUAGGCCCCACGUCAUGUCACAGUCAUUGUGGUUUCACAGAACUGAGAGGUGCAGUAGCACCUCACAGCUCUUGUGUGGUUUCCCUCUCACAUGGGACACAGGACAGAGCCAGCAUGCGGCAAGAGGGGAGUCUGGACAAAGGCUGGUCAUAAAUUACCAAGCAAUGAGAUGAUUCUAUUUAGGUAAGAUGUUCUUCAUAACCUUUUUCUAAUCUGACUAAUCAAAACCUCAAAUUCUCUUUCCUUGCUGAUCCUAGAAAAUAAUUUGAAAGAAUAUACUGUCUGUGACAUUGAUCCCAAGGGGGGUGCUGAUAAUGUGAUAUUUGGUUAGGCACUAGUUGUAGUUUUG